AUUGAACGCUGGCGGCAGGCCUAACACAUGCAAGUCGAACGAGUGGCGGACGGGUGAGUAAUGUCUGGGACACUGCGUGAUGGAGGGGGAUAACUACUAGAAGCGGUAGCUAAUACCGCAUAACAGCAUAAGUGCCGAGAUGGGAUUAGCGAGUGGGUGGGGUAACGGCGCACCAGGGCGACGAUCCCUAGCUGGUCUGAGAGGAUGACCAGCCACACUGGAACUGAGACACGGUCCAGACUCCUACGGGAGGCAGCAGUGGGGAAUAUUGCACAAUGGGCGCAAGCCUGAUGCAGCCAUGCCGCGUGUAUGAAGAAGGCCUUCGGGUUGUAAAGUACUUUCAGCGGGGAGGCGUUACCCGCAGAAGAAGCACCGGCUAACUCCGUGCCAGCAGCCGCGGUAAUAC
rnacentral:rRNA from 1 species